GGGGAAAAUAAAAGGCUUAACCUAUUGAUUCCUAAGCUUGCUCAAGCUAACUCUUAAUCAAUAGGUCCAAGGUUCGAAUCCUUGACGGCCCACCA
rnacentral:tRNA from 1 species